rnacentral:lncRNA from 1 species
AUGGUUGCACCUGCUCGGAGCCCGUUCUCAUCCUGGAAACCGGCCGCACCUGGGCGAGCGAGGCAAGGCCAAUUUCCUGCCUGGGCAACGCCGGGCCCUGCGAGCCACAGGCGGGUCCUGGGAGGAGAACGGGCUCUGAGGGGGCGACCGAGCCGAGGGAACUGGACACGGGUGCCAUUUGAAGCGUUGAGCCGGACAGGCCGGUGGGUCUGGCGGCCGGCACCGCUGUCCGGGCUGCGCGGAGCCGGAGACAGAAAAGGGACUGGCUUUGUCCGGCAGCCCUGCCACGGCCGGUACAUGUGGAAGCCCGAUAAGUUGGUUUGGAAGCGGCGGUUCCCGAGGAGCCAGCGGAGGCAGGGCUUCGUGCAUGGCCGGGCAGCCGCUCCUGCAGCCCCGCCGGCGGCUGCGCGGCUCCGAGGCAACGCCGCUGCCGAGCGGGGAGAGCAGAGCCCUGCCCGGGGUCAGCGGGGCUGCUCGCCCAGCUCUGCCAGCGGCACUGCUGCCCCCGGCAGCGAGCCCUUGCCCGCAUCCUUCCUGCGAGCUGGAGACGGAGACCGGCGAGAGCUGGAGAGCCCCGGCUGGAGCCGAGCGGAGAGCUGCAACAGGAUCCAUUGCAAAGCACAUCCAGAAAUGGAAGACCUUUAUUCUUUCUUACUCUUGAGAAAGAUCUGUCAAGUCAGUAAGUGGUUUGAUUGAAUGAGAGCAGUGAAACUAGUCCAUGGUGGAAGACUUUUAAAAAGAGGAGACUUCCCAGUAUGAGAGUGAACGAUUAAUGAGCAAAGAUACCCAGGGAGGAAGACUUCAUCCUGGAUACUUAUUCAGAAUUUCAGCUUGAAUGAUCCAACCAAAAUCAUUUUCCAUGCAUAUUACUACCUGAUAGCUGUGGUCUGCCACACAUGUAUUCUGACAACCUUUAAAGAUUGGUGGGGACUUGUCCACAGGGGAAUCCUUAAGUCUGGUGACUUACCUAUCCUACUACCUGGACAUCCAUUCACUCCGAAGGAUCCAAGAAACAUCCAGUAAAUGACUCUCCAUGCACAAUGAACUGCCUCAGGACCCUGG